GAGUUUGAUCAUGGCUCAGAUUGAACGCUGGCGGCAGGCCUAACACAUGCAAGUCGAACGGUAACAGGAAACAGCUUGCUGUUUCGCUGACGAGUGGCGGACGGGUGAGUAAUGUCUGGGAAACUGCCUGAUGGGGGGGGAUAACUACUGGAAACGGUAGCUAAUACCGCAUAACGUCGCAAGACCAAAGAGGGGGACCCUCGGGCCUCUUGCCAUCGGAUGUGCCCAGAUGGGAUUAGCUUGUUGGUGGGGUAACGGCUCACCAAGGCGACGAUCCCUAGCUGGUCUGAGAGGAUGACCAGCCACACUGGAACUGAGACACGGUCCAGACUCCUACGGGAGGCAGCAGUGGGGAAUAUUGCACAAUGGCGCAAGCCUGAUGCAGCCAUGCCGCGUGUAUGAAGAAGGCCUUCGGGUUGUAAAGUACUUUCAGCGGGGAGGAAGGGAGUAAAGUUAAUACCUUUGCUCAUUGACGUUACCCGCAGAAGAAGCACCGGCUAACUCCGUGCCGGCAGCCGCGGUAAUACGGAGGGUGCAAGCGUUAAUCGGAAUUACUGGGCGUAAAGCGCACGCAGGCGGUUUGCUAAGUCAGAUGUGAAAUCCCCGGGCUCAACCUGGGAACUGCAUCUGAUACUGGCAAGCUUGAGUCUCGUAGAGGGGGGUAGAAUUCCAGGUGUAGCGGUGAAAUGCGUAGAGAUCUGGAGGAAUACCGGUGGCGAAGGCGGCCCCCUGGACGAAGACUGACGCUCAGGUGCGAAAGCGUGGGGAGCAAACAGGAUUAGAUACCCUGGUAGUCCACGCCGUAAACGAUGUCGACUUGGAGGUUGUGCCCUUGAGGCGUGGCUUCCGGAGCUAACGCGUUAAGUCGACCGCCUGGGGAGUACGGCCGCAAGGUUAAAACUCAAAUGAAUUGACGGGGGCCCGCACAAGCGGUGGAGCAUGUGGUUUAAUUCGAUGCAACGCGAAGAACCUUACCUGGUCUUGACAUCCACGGAAGUUUUCAGAGAUGAGAAUGUGCCUUCGGGAACCGUGAGACAGGUGCUGCAUGGCUGUCGUCAGCUCGUGUUGUGAAAUGUUGGGUUAAGUCCCGCAACGAGCGCAACCCUUAUCCUUUGUUGCCAGCGGUCCGGCCGGGAACUCAAAGGAGACUGCCAGUGAUAAACUGGAGGAAGGUGGGGAUGACGUCAAGUCAUCAUGGCCCUUACGACCAGGGCUACACACGUGCUACAAUGGCGCAUACAAAGAGAAGCGACCUCGCGAGAGCAAGCGGACCUCAUAAAGUGCGUCGUAGUCCGGAUUGGAGUCUGCAACUCGACUCCAUGAAGUCGGAAUCGCUAGUAAUCGUGGAUCAGAAUGCCACGGUGAAUACGUUCCCGGGCCUUGUACACACCGCCCGUCACACCAUGGGAGUGGGUUGCAAAAGAAGUAGGUAGCUUAACCUUCGGGAGGGCGCUUACCACUUUGUGAUUCAUGACUGGGGUGAAGUCGUAACAAGGUA
rnacentral:rRNA from 1 species